rnacentral:rRNA from 1 species
AGUGAACGUUGGCGGCGUGGAUUAGGCAUGCAAGUCGAGCGAGAACCGUAGCAAUACGGGGACAGCGGCGAAAGGGACAGUAAUGUGUAGGUACCUACCCCGAGGUCUGGGAUAGCUGCGGGAAACUGCAGGUAAUACCGGAUAAUGUCUUCGGACCAAAGGUGUGAUUCCACCUUGGGAGGGGCCUGCAUCCUAUUAGCUUGUUGGCGGGGUAACGGCCCACCAAGGCGACGAUGGGUAGCGGGUGUGAGAGCACGACCCGCGUCAUUGGGACGGAGACACGGCCAAGACUGCUACGGGUUGCUGCCGUCGAGGUUCUUCGGCGAUGGGCGCAAGCCUGACCGAUCGACGCCGCGUGCGGGAUGAAGGCCGUCGGGUUGUAAACCGCUGUCGUAGGGGAGGAAAUGCAGGUGGGUUCUCCCUCCUGUUUGACCUAUCCUAGGAGGAAGUACGGGCUAAGUUCGUGCCAGCCGCCGCGGUAAGAC